GGUGGUUCUCAGGUGAUGCACCCCGGAAUUGGGCUCCCUCCUCUCUGGUUCCAGGUGCAUCACCCAAGAACUGCA
rfam:Myotis lucifugus cont2.38381, whole genome shotgun sequence.